GGUGAAGUGUCCGAGUGGCCGAAGGAGCACGCCUGGAAAGUGUGUAUACGGAAACGUAUCGUGGGUUCGACUCCCACCUUCACCGCCA
rnacentral:tRNA from 1 species